UCCUUCGCACCCUCACGGUGGUCCCUCGCCGUGUCACCCUCAGCCCAUCUGCAGGUACCUCCUGCUCUGGGCGCGCCUGGCUGCCGGCGGGAGAGUCGCGCCAGACUCACCCCGUGCCCCGGGGCUUGGCUUGGGGAGCGGCAGGGCCCAGCCGGCGGGCCCGAGGCUAGGCGGGAUCUCUGAAGCGCUGGGGUAUUUUUGUUAGAAAGUUGUUCCAGUUUUUCCAGUCUAUCUAUGGAGUAUCCACAGUCCACAAUGGAACAAUGAACACUGAAGCUCAAGAAAAGUUCAAAUACAGGAAUAAAAUAGUCUGGUGUAUGGAUUGUCUGCCUGCAUUUGAAGAAAGACUUUGGACUCUUAAAAAGCUAGGUUUUUACAUAUUCUCAAAUGCAAAGAGUGACUCCAGGAGAUGAAGGAAAGUGACACAAUCAUACUGAGUCAGAUACAGCAGCAAAGUACGUAGUAUCUUCAAAUCCUGGACCAAAGAUUUUGUCUUAGCUCCAAGUUGAUGCCACAGAGGAUCUAAAUAGUGACGUAUUGUCUAGAAAUAUAAAUUGGGAAGUCCAGAAUGUCAAGUGCAUAGUAUACUAACCAAGUUUAACUCUCCAAUGAAGUAAAGACGUUCCUUACCUCGGCCACAGAUAAAGUUUCCUGACAAAAAGAUUUUUCAUCACUCUUUC